AUGGAUGUGAUGAUUAUUUCCCCAGAUGAUCGAAGUUGAAAUUACUGAGCGCUUUUUUAUGUAUUUUCUUCCUUCUGGGAGAAAAUCCAAGCCAGAUAUUCUGAUCCAU
rfam:Nicotiana sylvestris Nsyl_contig20711, whole genome shotgun sequence.